UGGGGAAUAUUGGACAAUGGGCGAAAGCCUGAUCCAGCCAUGCCGCGUGUGUGAAGAAGGUCUUCGGAUUGUAAAGCACUUUAAGUUGGGAGGAAGGGCAGUAAGCGAAUACCUUGCUGUUUUGACGUUACCGACAGAAUAAGCACCGGCUAACUCUGUGCCAGCAGCCGCGGUAAUACAGAGGGUGCGAGCGUUAAUCGGAUUUACUGGGCGUAAAGCGCGCGUAGGUGGUUCGUUAAGUUGAAUGUGAAAGCCCCGGGCUCAACCUGGGAACUGCAUCCAAAACUGGCGAGCUAGAGUAGGGCAGAGGGUGGUGGAAUUUCCUGUGUAGCGGUGAAAUGCGUAGAUAUAGGAAGGAACACCAGUGGCGAAGGCGACCACCUGGGCUCAUACUGACACUGAGGUGCGAAAGCGUGGGGAGCAAACAGG
rnacentral:rRNA from 1 species